UAAUACGUAAGGGGCGAGCGUUGUUCGGAAUUAUUGGGUGUAAAGGGCGCGUAGGCGGUUCUGCAAGUCCGGUGUAUAAGGCAACAGCUUAACUGUUGUUUUGCGCUGGAAACUGUGGGACUUGAGUUUAGGAGGGGGAGCUGGAAUUCCAGGUGUAGGGGUGAAAUCUGUAGAUAUCUGGAAGAACACCGGUGGCGAAGGCGAGCUCCUAGCCAUAGACUGACGCUGAGGCGCGAAAGCGUGGGGAGCGAACAGG
rnacentral:rRNA from 1 species